CAUGGCGGAAAGUGCUGCAAAAAUGCUGUAUUUUACAGCUUUAAAAGCUAAAAGAAGAUCAUUAUGCAGUCAUAUAAAUGUAUAUAAACGAUUUAUGGACGUUUUGAAGCCACAAAAGGAAAUACACAAAGGAAAUCAGGUUCUGUUCCAGACAGUGUAACAUAUACCUGUAACAUGCAGCCUGCACUCAGGCUACAAAUAAUGCAGCACAACCGUCUAAUAUCAGAUACAUAGACAACAAUUAUGCUGGCUGACAUAUGAUACCCAUGAACAUUGCUGUAGCUGUGCUUUAGCACAUUUGAAAACCAUGACGAGAUGUCAAUCAUCUGUCAUCACCUGAGCUGCUCAGCAGUGCCGUCAGCCAAGUACAAAUGUACAGUCUGGUCGAACUGACAUUCAGAUACGAUGAAUGACCUUUCUGAGAUCUAACAAACCCAGAGCUGCCAGAAUUACCUUGAGGACAUUGAACUUUCUGAAAUGAGAGAAGUGGAGUGCAGUCAUUCUACAAUAGGUUUCUUAGGACUGUACUCCAUAAAAAUAAGGAUUGAGUCUAGAACGUUUUGUGGGUUGGGGGACUGGCUCUUAAGGUUAAGUUAGGUUUUCUGGUUCUUUAAAGUUUGUUUUUUGCAAGAUGAUUUUCCACUCGAUAGAAGUCCAACGAAUAUGGAGGAAAUGUCAUAGAAAUGACACAUCAUGACAAGAUAUAGUUGACAAAAUGACUGAUACAUGUGCUGCCAGUCCCCCAACCCAAAGCAGUAGAUACAGGAGAGUGUCCUUUUAGGAUAAGCUAACGGAAAGUUGAUUUGAUUUACAGUGUUCUGACUCAGAGCAUAAUUAUUUCCAUUUUUUGUUUCCUUGAUUCAAACUUGGUGCUUAGGGUUUUCAUCUGCCAGAGAUUUUGUGUUUGAUUGAUAGGACACUCUCCUGUAUCUAUUGCUUUUCAUUGUCAAAAUGGAAAUAAAGAACAUGCCUCCCUGAGGCCCUGCCAGCACCAAAAGAGAAGCCACCCCAGCAGGCCUAAUCUCUUUGGUAGUCUCGCUGCCCUGACUAGAGCCAACCGGUUAUAAGGCCAAGACCAGCAAACCUAAGACUGCCCUGAUACUGGAGACUGACUGCAUGA